rnacentral:rRNA from 1 species
GAUGAACGCUGGCGGCGUGCCUAAUACAUGCCAGUCGAGCGAACAGACGAGGAGCUUGCUCCUUUGACGUUAGCGGCGGACGGGUGAGUAACACGUAGGUAACCUACCUAUAAGACUGGGAUAACUUCGGGAAACCGGAGCUAAUACCGGAUAAUAUUUCGAACCGCAUGGUUCGAUAGUGAAAGAUGGCUUUGCUAUCACUUAUAGAUGGACCUGCGCCGUAUUAGCUAGUUGGUAAGGUAACGGCUUACCAAGGCAACGAUACGUAGACGACCGGAGAGGGGGAUAGCCCACACUGGAACGGAAACGCGGUCCAGACUACUAAGGGAGGGCGCAGUCGGGUACCGGACGCAGUGGGCGAGAGUCUGACGGAGUGAGGGGAAGCGAGAGAUGACAGUGUCGGGAUCGUAAAACUGGGUUAUGAGGGAAGAACAACCGUGGAAGUAAAUGUAGAGGGAUUGACGGUACUUAAUCAGAAAGCACCGGCUAACUACGUG